rnacentral:lncRNA from 1 species
AUUUAGUCACAUCACGGGAAAAUAAUUUCUCCUUUGUAGAUAGAUGAAUUGUGUGUGGAAUUAAAGCAGGAACGUCCAACCUUUUGGUUUACCUGGGCUGCUUUGAGUGAAGAGGAAUGUCUUGGGCUGCAUGUGAAAUAUGUAAUGUAGUUAAUAUAAUUGUUUAAAAUGGAAGAGACGUUCUCUGAAAGUGAAUGUUAAGCGUUUCUACUUGAAGACCUGAGGAGAAUUCUACUGUUCCUUCGUGUUCUUGUUUUGAUGACUCCAAUAAGCAGUCCACCAGUCUUCUGUGAAAGGAAGCAAAGGAGCAAAAUACUUGUGAAUUAUCAUGUUAUUUAUCUUUCACAGUGUCUUUUCCCUUCACUACUGUAUCUGCCUGGUCUGCUUAGUCUGGAUUUUAAGCUGUGGGGUAGCUAUUGUUAUUCUCUGCACAGUGCCUGUUGCAGCUGGAUUGGCUUUGUAUCUGAGUGUUCUUGCAUUAUGUGCUUCUCUUAUAAAUAAUAAAAUGGAAUAAGGGAGGUCGUGGAAGAAUCUUGCUGUAAAAGAAUUGUACUUAUCACCUCAUACGUUCUACUUAGGUACAGUUUUGAAUUGGCUCACUCAAAGAGGUGCAAGAUGUACAGCAGUGAACAGCAGUGCUUUUUGUAAAAGUGAGUGUAGUUUUGAAGCUAGAGGUAUUGCAGUGAAAAUGAAAUAGAGCGAAUUUGCAAGAAUGAAACACCAGGGAGUCAUAUACUUCUUGAAAUUUAUUAAAGAGCCAAAGUUAAGUGUUUUGGUUAAAUAUUUUCUAUUUUAGUUUUGACAUGCUCCCAGCUUUCUUAAAUGGGCAGGCUGUAGAUGUUCCAAUGUUAGCCAAGUGUAGCAGUGGCAAGAAUUAUUAAUGAUACCGCCAAUUACAGAAAUUUCAGUCAGAAAUGUGAUUACUAAGUAGCUAGCAUUCAUUGAGUAUGUUGAAUGAGUUCUACACACAAGUGAAAUAGUCAAUAUAUUAAAAGAGUAUUUUACCCAUAAAUAGACUGAAAGACAGAUUGUCUUGUGUGCAGUCAUAGAUUCUCCUUGGGGUUUACUCUUUCACAACAAAAACUUGCCUAUGCUUUGUGUAUCUGCACAACCUGUAAGUACCUCGUAAUUCUACUGGCUGUAAAGCUGGUGCUCUGAAACUUCGUUUCUACCUAGAAAGGGAAUGAGUAUUUCUGUGCCUUGUGCCAGCCAUGUAAGGUGUUGUUAGUAGCGCCCUUCAGAUUCUGUGUAAUGCCACACACAACUUUGCACUUUACCACAACAAUGGAAACUAUUUUUUUUUUUCUUGAAAGUGUUGAAAUUUGGCUGCAUGGGCUAUGGUGGUUUUUGUUUGUUUGUUUUGGCCAUUGAACAUAUUGUUCCAGCCAUAUCUCUUCAGUGUACCUGAUCUAGUUAAAAUUCAACAUUCUGUAGGCUCCUGGUUUAGCAGGACAAUUUAAAACCUCUUAAAUCAGGAAUAAACUGAAAAGAUUGUAAAAAGUAAUUUUUUAAGAAUGAGAUGUAUAAAAAAUUGUUUCCAAGUGAUCUAGAAAAGGAGACAAGACUGUGAAAAACUUGCCAGAGAUUUUUCCUCUUGCUUAAAACCUUGCUUGUGUUUACUAAAUAUUUUGUCUUCCUAGGGAUUAAAGAUCAUCUUUAUUCCACCAUCUCUGUAUUUCUGAAUUUGGCACUCCAGAACAGCUGUAAUUUUUCCAGCAUGAAAUGUAUGGAACUUUCCUUAAAGCAUUAUUUUGGACAACUGUCCUAGCUUGUGGCAUCAAGAGCUUUUUUCAGGAUAAUACAGUCUAAAAUCUUUCAGGACUUUCCUGGAUCCUUUAAUGGUCUUUGGAUCAUGCCCUGGUGUGGGGAGAGCAAGGAUUAGGUGGGCUGAGUGUAACAAAAAGCACUCACUCACAGUGCUAAAACAGAUGUGUGCUUUAGUGUAUCUAGAGUCAAAAUCCUUUGUAAACUUGAGCAUUGUGUAGAGGGUAUUAUUUACCAAGCAUACAGUGUGAAACAAGGUUUUAGUUGGUAGCGCCACAAAACAACUGAGUAUAUGCUGAAGAGUUAUAGAAUGCAUUUUACUUCAGAAGUAAAUAUAUUAAGGGAUAAUC